rnacentral:rRNA from 1 species
AAUAUGUGACAAUGGGGGCAACCCUGAUCCAGCCAUGCCGCGUGUGUGAAGAAGGNCUNNGGAUUNUNAAGCCCUUUAAGUUGNNNNNAAGGGCUCUAGGCUAAUACCCUGAAGUUUGGACGUUACCAACAGAACAAGCACCGCCAAACGCUGUCCCAGCAGCAGCGGUAAUACAGAGGGUGCAAGCGUUAAUCGGAAUUACUGGGCGUAAAGCGCGCGUAGGUGGUUCAGUAAGAUGGGUGUGAAAUCCCCGGGCUUAACCUGGGAACUGCUUUCAUAACUGCUGAGCUAGAGUACGGUAGAGGGUAGUGGAAUUUCCUGUGUAGCGGUGAAAUGCGUAGAUAUAGGAAGGAACACCAGUGGCGAAGGCGACUACCUGGACUGAUACUGACACUGAGGUGCGAAAGCGUGGGGAGCAAACA